GUCCACGCCCUAAACCAUGUCAACUGGGUGUUCGGGAAGCGAUUUCUGAGUACCGUAGCUAACGCGUGAAGUUGACCGCCUGGGGAGUACGGCCGCAAGGUUAAAACUCAAAGGAAUUGACGGGGACCCGCACAAGCGGUGGAUGAUGUGGAUUAAUUCGAUGCAACGCGAACAACCUUACCUACCCUUGACAUGUCCGAGAGCCUGCUGAGAGGCGGGUGUGCUCGAAAGAGAAUCGGAACACAGGUGCUGCAUGGCUGUCGU
rnacentral:rRNA from 1 species